CCGGAGUGGGGCGGGCCUGGGCCAAGCCAAGGGAGGCGCCCUCCUCGGCGGAAGUGGAUGAGCUUGGAUGAGCGUGGGGCGUCUGGCUCAGCCUCUGCCUCGAGUCACAGAAUCAGAACAGUGUACGUGAACUAGACCUGCCUGUUAACGGCAGCGCCGGUGGGCACAGGAGAGGGGUGGGGGGCGCUGUCCUGAGUGCAGCCAGCAGCAGCAGCUGUGCAAAGUGGACUGGGCCAAAGCCCCGCUUCUGAACUGGAGUUGCCACUGAAUUUAUGAGUGUGCGGAUAUGUCUCUCUCACCCUUUCCCAUUAGCUGAUACCCACCCCCUGCCCUGGCCGCAAAGCCUCUGGAGGGUGGGCAGCACUGACUGGCGAUGCUGCCCUGGCAGGCGAUGAAAGAGUGGGUGAGGGAGGCCAGGACGGCUGCACUUCAGAGGCUUGGCCUCCAUGGCGGGGGUGGGGGGCAGCAAAAAGCAUCUAAAGUGGGGAUGUGGGGGCGCGGCAUCUCUCCUGGACCCUCUCGGUCCAGUCUGCACCUUUCCCAUUGCCGCCCAUGCCGCUCCUUCCUGUGAGGGGGAGGGUACUGGGGGAAACUGUGCUGUGUCCCUCUCCCAGGGGGUCAGAGACCACAUCCUACUGCCGGGCAGCAGGGGCCACCCAAGCGGAGGCUUGUUGGGGGGCAAAGGGGACACUUCUGGAGGGAGCCCAGGCGGUGAGGAUCUCCUUUCGACCUCAGACUAAGCCUGCGUGUGGGAAAGGAGAGAAAAGUGCGCAGACAGGGCCAGGGCCUGGCUACUCUCCUCUCCAACACUCCGGCAGGGGGCCCUGUUCCCAGCAAACCCCGCCUGCUCAGCGGCCCCGGGCUCCCCUGCAAAGGCUCCACGUCCUCCCUCUUCUCACAACACGGCGACAGGCUUUCCCGCUGCUCUCCCAGCUCUCUAUAGACUCUAUUUUUUAUAUCUAUUUAAAACAUAGAAAUGUAUAAAUAUAUAGGAUAUUAUUUAUAGAUAUAUAGACGUGAUUUCAUCUCUUACUCUGUGUGUAUACGUACUGCAUAUGUCCAUAUAUACAAUAUAUAUGCUGUAGCAUUUGUAUUAUACACUGCACAUACCCCUGCUUCCAUGCACUCUCCUAGGGAGACUGGAUUGCAUAGGUAUUUCCAGGGCGAUACCACUUGAAGGGAUGGGGGGGGGGGCAGAUGAAAGAGGAGGGCCGUACCAUUUUUCCUCCUGAAAGGGCACUUUUUCUCCCUCUGGCUAACGCACAAAGAUCACCUCAAAGGUUUCUUAAAGUAUCACAGCUCCAGACGCUCAGCUAAAGCACCGUGUCCACAGAGAGCAGAGAGAGGCCUUCCUCCAAGCAGGAGAAGGGCCCCUGCGAUCUCUGGACAUACUCUUCCCCCCUCCUCGAGACUGGAGGAGGAAGCCAGCCUAGAAGCCAUGACCCAGCACCACCUUCCCCCAGGAGGCUGGCGUCGGAAACGGGACUGUCCCAAACUCACUUGCCUUGCGAACAAGCCUUUCUCAUCUAAGGAGGCCUGGCCUCCCUGCUUUGGCUGUCCCAGGCUGGCCUGCUGCUUGCAAGGGCGAGGAGGGAUGAGGGCCAGAGCCUUUUGUCCGAACUGGGUGUAGGAACCAAGAAAGAACACGGAUUCUACUUGGAAAUCAGACCAGAAGCCACAACGAGCUCUAGAUACAGAAUUCCUGUUCCUAUAGGCGAGAAAACAAAGGGCAAGGAAUCGAGAAGUUCUGUUUCAACCCCCAAGCCACUUUCUGGACCCCACGAGGCAACAGGUAAACAGCCAAAAUAGCCCCCACUCCACAGCCCAGGCUGGGCCAAGUCUGGUCCACUUCAGCCUCUCCGCGAUCAUUUUCAGCACUCGACACGCUGUUGCCUAUUUUCUCCCUCUUGGCAACACUUCAAAACAAAUGGAAAAUAUUUAAACAUCACCUUAAAUAAUUACAAGGUCCUUUCUCCAAGUCAAAGGGGCAACAUAAGCAAGUCAAAGAGAGAAGGCUCAGCAAGACAACUCAAUGUGGAAACACUUGGCGGGGACCAGGGUGGAGACCUCCAACUGUCCUAGAUUCAGGGCUCAGCACCGAAUGCAACUAACCACGGGUCCAGGAGAUAGAGCCUCCACUCGUCUUUCAGUGAGGUUGAGGAAAUGAGGCUCUGCCCAGCACUAGAUGUGCCCAGCGGCCAUCCAAGAAGAAAAUAACAAGCAAACAAAAAGAGCUGGUGUUGUGGAUGCCCAGACUGUCAUACCCAACCAGACAGCUGAAACUGGGAAAUUGGGAAGUGGCAAGAGUUGCAGACAGGGCUGGGCUACCUCACAUUUCACAGACAGAUACAAGAUGGCAACGGGUCUUUUGGUUUUUUCCCCUCCAUUGAGAAAAAGCAGACCAUUUUUAAUCACAAGGGUUUCUGGCUCCCAAGCUCUGCGAUGUAUCUCCUUGGCACCAUCGGCCACACACCUGAUCUCAUUUCCCACCUGCUCCAUGAACCGAAGAAAAUCACUAACUGGUCAACCCAAUGAGGACAAGCUCGACUCCAGAGACAUGAACAAUUUUUUCUAAGUCAAUGGUUGUCUCUCCUAAGCCAGGGGUUGAAUUUAAGGGCUCUGCCUUGUCCAUCAGCAUGGAACGAUCACCUGGCCACAGCUUUUUAUACUCAUCGAUGAGAGGUUAGACUGCCCAAGCAUGUGGGCAGACCCCAAGAGUACCCACACCCCAGGAGUCCUUAUUGGAGGCAGAGAGUGGAAACGCCUGGGGUGAAGACCAUGGGUAAUUGCACGCAGCAUUCACAGGAUAGAAACACUGGAACUUCUGAGGGUAAAGACUCUGUAUCAAUUGUAGUGGUGUGUCACCCAAAUUGCUCCCUGUUCCCAGGCAAAGUGGCCUUCAGACUGCCAUGAGCACCUGGAGCUUUCGAGAUGCCUUCCCAAACUUCGGGAAUCUCCAGAGAGCCCAUCCUCUCAGAGGUCUGGAGCCUGGCUAGGCAGGCGAUGGCUCGAAGUCUAGUGUUGCUAGCAACCGUCCACGCUCCUGGCCCAGAGGCAGGUGGCCAGCUUCUGCUCCUCUGAAAUAAUAAGGACAUCUCUACCCUGUUCAAAAAAGGAAGCGUUCGCAGGCAUAGACGCAUUCCCCACUUUUCCACUACCUUCCUGCCGGGCUGCAGGGCUUGUCAUCAGCCUUAUUGCAAAAGAAGGACCCAAUGUCUAGAGACUCUCAUCGGAGUUAUGCAUAACCCAGGGCACAACUUGCAUUGACAUCUGCCACUGAACUCUAGCAGGCAUUUCUCGAUUAUUAAAGGAAAAAAUAAUAUACCCCCAAACACAUUAUAUGAUUAUAAAGACAGAGUAUAAAUAAUUCAUGUAAAUUGAAUACAUACUUUUCAUUUUACGUGUUUUUAGCCAAAGAUCGCUGCCCUACUGGGGUCUGGACUUCUUGGCUCUGGGUUUCCCCCACAUUCCUUGGAUCUGAAUGGAAUUCUGUUAUGGUCUCCCACACCAGGUAAAAAACAGGAAUGCAAAGGGCUCAUGUCCUCCCUUCUCCCCAGGAUUUCAAGCUCCGUUGUGAGGCAGUUUUGCCUUCAGUAUAACAGAGACAGUGAAGGAACGCUCAUCCGGGAAUGAAUGAACACCUCUCCAGCCGGGUGGGAGGGGGAAAACGUCGAACACCCUGAUCCGGAUACACAGCUCACCCUAUCCAAAAAUCAGAGGUCUGAUUCUGCCGGACCAGCGUGUCAACCAAGAGCCCAAGAGAUCCCACUUGUAAAACCAAACAAGAAAAAAAAAAAAAAGGCAAGAACAUACACCCAAACCCAAACCCCUCAAACCCCAAACGAGAACAUAAACAAAAUGAGCUACCUAAAGGGGAUGACAGACCCGUCACUUUAGCUUAUGCGAGUUGGUUGACAGUCAGGUGGGAGCCCGUGUAGCCCCAGCACAUGCUUCUGUGAGUGAAAAUGAGUUUCCACGGGGUGUGUCACAGCUGCCAAAUUUUGUAGACAAGAGUCAGUUUCCGACAUUAUUCCAAUCUGAAAACUCCCAGUAGCUUCUGGUGGACGUGUCACCUUGGU